AAAUAAGCAAAAUAAAUUAGAUAAAUGCUUAAGUAUAAUUAUAGAAGAAUGUACAUCAAAAUGCACUGAUCAAAUUCCCCCACACUUGAACUUUUGCACUCCGAGUAAAAUUACAAUUUCAAAACAAAAGGAAAGAAAACAGAGCAUGCACUUCCAAAAAAUUUCAAGAUACAAUGUAUAAGCAUAAUUCUAAGUCUAAGCUUCAAGAAUAUGGUGUUAGUAAGCAACUUUUUGUGACAUUCAAAGCAGAUAAAAAAACAGAUUACCAAAAAAUACAUCAACAGCAG
rnacentral:lncRNA from 1 species